rnacentral:rRNA from 1 species
UACGUAGGGAGCAAGCGUUGCCCGGAAUCAUUGGGCGUAAAGCGCGCGUAGGCGGCCUCAUAAGUCCGUUGUGAAAGUCAAAGGCUCAACCUUUGAAAGCCGAUGGAUACUGUGAGGCUAGAGUUCGGAAGAGGCGAGUGGAAUUCCUGGUGUAGCGGUGGAAUGCGCAGAUAUCAGGAGGAACACCAAUAGCGAAGGCAGCUCGCUGGGACGAUACUGACGCUAAGGCGCGAAAGCGUGGGGAGCGAACAGG